UGGAGGGCAAGUCUGGUGCCAGCAGCCGCGGUAAUUCCAGCUCCAAUAGCGUAUAUUAAAGUUGUUGCAGUUAAAAAGCUCGUAGUUGAACCUUGGGUCUGGCUGGUCGGUCCGCCUCACCGCGAGUACUGAUCCGGCUGGACCUUUCCUUCUGGGGAACCUCAUGGCCUUCACUGGCUGUGGGGGGAACCAGGACUUUUACUGUGAAAAAAUUAGAGUGUUCAAAGCAGGCCUUUGCUCGAAUACAUUAGCAUGGAAUAAUAGAAUAGGACGUGCGGUUCUAUUUUGUUGGUUUCUAGGACCGCCGUAAUGAUUAAUAGGGAUAGUCGGGGGCGUCAGUAUUCAGCUGUCAGAGGUGAAAUUCUUGGAUUUGCUGAAGACUAACUACUGCGAAAGCAUUCGCCAAGGAUGUUUUCAUUAAUCAGGGAACGAAAGUUAGGGGAUCGAAGACGAUCAGAUACCGUCGUAGUCUUAACCAUAAACUAUGCCGACUAGGGAUCGGACGGGAUUCUAUAAUGACCCGUUCGGCACCUUACGGGAAAC
rnacentral:rRNA from 1 species